AGGAUGAACGCUGGCGGUAUGCUUUACACAUGCAAGUCGUACGAGAGUUUUUAACUCAAGUGGCGGACGGGUGAGUAACACGUAAGAAUUUGCCUUUAGGAGGGGGAUAACAACUGGAAACGGUUGCUAAUACCCCAUAUGCUUUCGAGUAAAAUGGAUUUUCCGCCUAAAGAGAAGCUUGCGGCUGAUUAGCUUGUUGGUGAGGUAAUGGCUUACCAAGGCGACGAUCAGUAUCUGGUUUGAGAGGACGAUCAGACACACUGGAACUGAGACACGGUCCAGACUCCUACGGGAGGCAGCAGUGGGGAAUUUUCCGCAAUGGGCGAAAGCCUGACGGAGCAAUACCGCGUGAGGGAUGACGGCCUAUGGGUUGUAAACCUCUUUUUCAGGGAGGAAUCAAUGACGUGUACCUGAAGAAUAAGCAUCGGCUAACUCCGUGCCAGCAGCCGC
rnacentral:rRNA from 1 species